GACGUAGGGCGCGAGCGUUGUCCGGAUUUAUUGGGCGUAAAGAGCUCGUAGGCGGCUCAUUGCGUCAACCGUGAAGACCAGCAGCUCAACUGUUGGCUUGCGGUUGAUACGGGUGGGCUGGAGUUCGGUAGGGGAGACUGGAAUUCCUGGUGUAGCGGUGAAAUGCGCAGAUAUCAGGAGGAACACCGGUGGCGAAGGCGGGUCUCUGGGCCGAUACUGACGCUGAGGAGCGAAAGCGUGGGGAGCGAACAGG
rnacentral:rRNA from 1 species